CGUUGCCCAACGCGAGCACAGCUGAUACUUUACAUAGAUUCGUGUGACAUCCCAAAUUUGUUCCUCUUCUACUGUUCACAGAUAGAUCCAAAACACUGUGUAAUCAUGAACUUCAACAGGUCGGUACUAGAUACCAAAACCACGAGUACAAAGAAAAGAGAAAACACCAUCACUCAAAAUAACGACAAGGAAUCGUCCGUUAUAAGAAAGAAUUUCUCUUUAAUUGAUAUAGUUAUUUUCUGAAUACUUAGAAAGC
rnacentral:lncRNA from 1 species